rnacentral:lncRNA from 1 species
CCCCCCCCCCCCCCUCCGAGCCGGGCCGGACCGAGCCGGGCCGGACCGAGCCCUGCCGCUCCGAGCCCUGCCGGGGUCGGUCCUCGCCCGCAGCCGCUCGGGGACGGCGCUCCCCGGCCUCUCUCUCCGGCUCCCUCGUCACUCGCCGUGUCUCCCCGCCGCUGAAUUUCAGCCCCGCGGGAGCAGGGGCGAUGGUCGCUGGCAGCCCGGCAUCGUCCGGCCCGGCCUCUUGCCCUCUCUCACCUCCCUUCUCCCCGAGGAACCUCCUUUGCUCGUCUUCUCCUCUGUCGGUCCGCAAGUGCAUCAGUAAUCCCUGCUGCGGCUGCUGCUGCGGCUGCACCUGCGAACGGCAGGAUCUGCAAGUUAUUUCUGCGCCGCUAAAGCCAUAAGUGAAGAGGAAAAGCCAUGUCCAGUACAGGAGAGCAACGUGCCAGGCUGGGUACCGGCCAGCAACUUUUUCCAUCGCUGCCACUGCUGAUGAGUGCGAGGGAGAAAGAGCAGGGAGGAGAGCGCAGGAGCGAGGGAGCCGGGCGCUGCCGAUUGAGCCGCCGCGGGGAACACGGCGAGAACUCCACGGAAAGUUUCAGACUCUUCUGUGCUAGAUGCAGCCGAGGGGGCAUUUCAGAAAAUGAUUUACAGAUUUGUUCCACAUUCUUCUAGAGAUUUCACUCAAAUGCUCACUGGUGACACGUCUUGGGAUAUUAGCACAAGACCAGAGGUGAAGGGAGACUCACAGUAAUUCAGGCUGGGCAUAACUUCAUGCUGCUUACAACAAUGAUGGAUUGUCUGCAGUGUAACCACCUGACCUCAGCUAAAUCUACCAAUUAACUGCAUACCUGUUUCCACAUCUCCCAGCUAAAUGGUUACUAUUAGUUACAGCCUGUCGGGUAAUAACAAUAAUAAAAAUGCACUUUAAACACACUUAAAGCUCCUUUCCUUUGCUAAGCCCAAAGCUCCUCACAAAGGCCACUUUUGUUGUAUAAAUGGAGGAAACUGAGUCACAGUAUGAUCAGCAAAGUAGUAAUCAUUGGAGGUGGAGCUACCUUGUUAUCAACCCAAUCCUUUAUCUUCUAUACAACAGAUGGACCAGGUGGAUCUAUCCCAGAGGAUCAAAUAAAAAGCAUCACCUCCCCAGCACCAGUCUCUUAAGGAGCCUUUAAUCUAAAGGAAUGAAAUUUAGGCAUUAAUAGGUGAGACAGAAAAAGAACUUGGAAGAAGGAAAUGAGCAAGAGGUCAGAGGGAAUUUCUCUUGGGAUUGUAAUAGAGAUCUGAAUGCCAAUGUGUGGCUAAGGCUAAGGAGAGGAACAAUCUAGCUUUCUCAUUUAGGCAGAUGAUUAUCUCUGGGUUUUGAUGAGUGGCCAGUGAGAGAUACGGAUGUGCCUGGGGGAGCACACCUGUGAACUCACUACACCCACAGAGCACUUCAGCAAAUGCACAAGAAUCAGUCAUGGAGAGAAAAUACUGGAUCCAACCUGAGGACCAGAGACACAUUUUCCAGCACACACCUUGUUGUGGGUGGAUGUAGGACAGGCACAUACAGUGUGAGCCUUCCCCUGAGCCCUGUUUUCAGGCAUUGUCAGUUAGGAGAUCCCAACAACAGCAGAAACUGCACCUGAUCCCUUACUUUUAAUAAGCAAUUAUGUAGAAGGACUUUUA